GCGGGGGUAGCUCAGCCUGGUUGGAGCGCCCGGCUCAUAACCGGGAGGACCCGGGUUCGAAUCCCGGCCCCCGCA
rnacentral:tRNA from 1 species